AAUAAGCGGAGGAAAAGAAACCAACCGGGAUUGCCUUAGUAACGGCGAGUGAAGCGGCAAAAGCUCAAAUUUGAAAUCUGGCGUCUUCGACGUCCGAGUUGUAAUUUGAAGAAGUAACUCUGAUGCUAGUCCCUGUCUAUGUUCCUUGGAACAGGACGUCAUAGAGGGUGAGAAUCCCGUCUGGCGGGGGUGCUAGUGUCAUGUAGAGUGCUUUCGACGAGUCGAGUUGUUUGGGAAUGCAGCUCUAAGUGGGUGGUAAAUUCCAUCUAAAGCUAAAUAUUGGCGAGAGACCGAUAGCGAACAAGUACAGUGAUGGAAAGAUGAAAAGAACUUUGAAAAGAGAGUGAAAAAGUACGUGAAAUUGUUGAAAGGGAAGGGCAUUUGAUCAGGCAUGGUGUUUUGCGGCACUCGCUCCUCGUGGGUGGGUUCACCGCAGCUCACUGGGCCAGCAUCAGUUUUGGUGGCAGCAUAAACCCUUGGGAAUGUGACUUUGUCUUCGGAGGAAGUGUUAUAGCCCAAGGUCAUACUGCCAACCGGGACUGAGGACUGCGGCUUCGGCCAAGGAUGCUGGCAUAAUGGUUAAAUGCCGCCCGUCUUGAAACACGGACCAAGGAGUCU
rnacentral:rRNA from 1 species